UUUACACAUGCCGGUUGAUUUAGAUAACUCCUCUACAGUUUCCGGCGAUGCGAGCGUCUCAUCGACCGGAAACCAAAAUCAAACUCCCAAAUCCGUUGGGAAGAAGAAACGGAAUCUUCCUGGAAUGCCUGAUCCAGACGCGGAAGUGAUAGCUUUGUCACCCAAAACACUUAUGGC